rnacentral:rRNA from 1 species
GACGAACGCUGGCGGCGUGCUUAACACAUGCAAGUCGAACGGAAAGGCCCUGCUUUUGUGGGGUGCUCGAGUGGCGAACGGGUGAGUAACACGUGAGUAACCUGCCCUUGACUUUGGGAUAACUUCAGGAAACUGGGGCUAAUACCGGAUAGGAGCUCCUGCUGCAUGGUGGGGGUUGGAAAGUUUCGGCGGUUGGGGAUGGACUCGCGGCUUAUCAGCUUGUUGGUGGGGUAGUGGCUUACCAAGGCUUUGACGGGUAGCCGGCCUGAGAGGGUGACCGGCAAAAAUGGGACUGAGAUACGGCACAGAAUCCAACGGGAGGAAGAAGUGGGGAAUAUUGCAAAAUGGGAGGAAGCAUGAUGCAGCAACGGCGCGUGCGGGAUGAAGGCCGUCGGGUUGUAAACCGCUUUCGCAUGUGACGAAGAGUGAGUGACGGUAAUGGGUAAAGAAGCACCGGCUAACUACGUG